rnacentral:rRNA from 1 species
GACGAACGCUGGCGGCGUGCCUAACACAUGCAAGUCGAGCGAUUCUCUUCGGAGAAGAGCGGCGGACGGGUGAGUAACGCGUGGGUAACCUGCCCUGUACACACGGAUAACAUACCGAAAGGUAUGCUAAUACGAGAUAAUAUACUUUUAUCGCAUGGUAGAAGUAUCAAAGCUUUUGCGGUACAGGAUGGACCCGCGUCUGAUUAGCUAGUUGGUAAGGUAACGGCUUACCAAGGCGACGAUCAGUAGCCGACCUGGGAGGGUGAUCGGCCACAUUGGAACUGGGACACGGUCCAAACUCCUACGGGAGGCAGCAGUGGGGAAUAUUGCACAAUGGGCGAAAGCCUGAUGCAGCAACGCCGCGGGAGCGAUGAAGGCCUUCGGGUCGUAAAGCUCUGUCCUCAAGGAAGAUAAUGACGGUACUUGAGGAGGAAGCCCCGGCUAACUACGUGCCAGCCGCCGCCGUAAAAC